rnacentral:rRNA from 1 species
AUUGAACGCUGGCGGCAUGCCUUACACAUGCAAGUCGAACGGCAGCACGGGAGCAAUCCUGGUGGCGAGUGGCGAACGGGUGAGUAAUAUAUCGGAACGUGCCCAGUAGUGGGGGAUAGCCCGGCGAAAGCCGGAUUAAUACCGCAUACGACCUGUGGGUGAAAGCGGGGGAUCGCAAGACCUCGCGCUAUUGGAGCGGCCGAUAUCAGAUUAGCUUGUUGGUGGGGUAAAAGCCCACCAAGGCGACGAUCUGUAGCUGGUCUGAGAGGACGACCAGCCACACUGGGACUGAGACACGGCCCAGACUCCUACGGGAGGCAGCAGUGGGGAAUUUUGGACAAUGGGCGCAAGCCUGAUCCAGCCAUGCCGCGUGUGGGAAGAAGGCC